UAGUCUGCAACCCGACUACAUGAAGCUGGAAUCGCUAGUAAUCGCGAAUCAGAAUGUCGCGGUGAAUACGUUCCCGGGUCUUGUACACACCGCCCGUCACACCAUGGGAGUCGGAAAUGCCCGAAGUCAGUGACCUAACCGAAAGGGAGGAGCUGCCGAAGGUGGAGCCGGUAACUGGGGUGAAGUCGUAACAAGGUAGC
rnacentral:rRNA from 1 species